GACGAACGCUGGCGGUGUGCUUCACACAUGCAAGUCGAACGAGGUAGCAAUACCUAGUGGCGGACGGGCGAGUAACGCGUGGGAAUCUGCCUUUAGAUGGGGGAUAACGGGUCGAAAGACUCGCUAAUACCGCAUAUGACGAAAGUUGAAAGGAGUAAUCCGUCUAAAGAUGAGCCCGCGUCCGAUUAGCUAGUUGGUAGAGUAAAAGCCUACCAAGGCGACGAUCGGUAGCUGGGUCUGAGAGGAUGAUCAGCCACAAUGGGACU
rnacentral:rRNA from 1 species